AUUGAACGCUGGCGGCAGGCCUAACACAUGCAAGUCGAACGAGUGGCGGACGGGUGAGUAAUGUCUGGGAAACUGCCCGAUGGAGGGGGAUAACUACUGGAAACGGUAGCUAAUACCGCAUACCAUCGGAUGUGCCCAGAUGGGAGUAGCUUGUAGGUGAGGUAACGGCUAACCUAGGCGAAGCUCCCUAGCUGGUCGGAGAGGAUGACCAGCCACACUGGAACUGAGACACGGACCAGACUCCUACGAGAGGCAGCAGGGGGGAAUAUUGCACAAUGGGCGCAAGGCUGAUGCAGCCAUGCCGCGUGUAUGAAGAAGGCCUUCGGGUUGUAUAGUACUUGCAGCGGGGAGGCGUUACCCGCAGAAUAAUCACCGGCUAACUCCUUGCCAGUGGCCGCGGUAAUUC
rnacentral:rRNA from 1 species